rnacentral:rRNA from 1 species
GUGGGGAAUCUUGCGCAAUGGGCGAAAGCCUGACGCAGCCAUGCCGCGUGAAUGAUGAAGGUCUUAGGAUUGUAAAAUUCUUUCACCGGGGACGAUAAUGACGGUACCCGGAGAAGAAGCCCCGGCUAACUUCGUGCCAGCAGCAGCGGUAAUACGAAGGGGGCUAGCGUUGCUCGGAAUUACUGGGCGUAAAGGGCGCGUAGGCGGAUCGUUAAGUCAGGGGUUGAAUCCCAGAGCUCAACUCUUGAACUGCCCUUGAUACUGGCGAUCUUGAGUGUGAGAGAGGUAUGUGGAACUCCGAGUGUAGAGGUGAAAUUCGUAGAUAUUCGGAAGAACACCAGUGGCGAAGGCGACAUACUGGCUCAUUACUGACGCUGAGGUGCGAAAGCGUGGGGAGCAAACAGGAUUAGAUACCCUAGUAGUCC